rnacentral:tRNA from 1 species
AGUAAAGUGGCUGAUAAUAGGUAAUAAAUUGUAAAUUUAUUUAUGAGAAUUUUAUUUCUUUUUUACUA